rnacentral:lncRNA from 1 species
UCGUCCUCCCCCGCCACCGCAGCCAACGAGGUAGAGUUCCGGCGGUUGCUAGAUACUUAAAUAAAUAUUGGUAAAUUAGCAGCACUCUUUUAGAUUAUAGCAACACUCUUUAACUGUCACUAUAUACCUAGCGACCCCACAUAUAGCAACACUUUUCAAAAGUGUCGGUAAAUUUAGCCAGCAGCACUUUUUUGACCUAUACCGACAUUUAAAAGUGUCGCUAUAGACCGUUUUUGUUGUAGUGAUUGGACUUUAUAUUUAGUCAUUAGUAGGAUUUUUUUUAAGUUUUGGCAUAAAUAUGACACUUAUACAAAAGUGUCCCAAACAUGUGUCGCUAUAACCUAAUUCUGUUAUAGUGUCAUGGUGAUGUUACAUGUGAAUUAACUAUUCACUUAACCUAUGUUUUUGCAACGCAUACCUAUAACUCC